rnacentral:rRNA from 1 species
GUGGGGAAUAUUCCGCAAUGGACGAAAGUCUGACGGAGCAACGCCGCGUGAGUGAUGAAGGUUUUCGGACUGUAAAGCUCUGUUGUUUAGGACGAAAGUGCCUGUUGCGAACAGUUACAGGUAUUGACGGUACUAAACGAGGAAGCCACGGCUAACUACGUGCCAGCAGCCGCGGUAAUACGUAGGUGGCAAGCGUUGUCCGGAAUUAUUGGGCGUAAAGAGCAUGUAGGCGGAGAUGUAAGUCUGUUGUGAAAAUGCGGGGCUCAACCCCGUAUUGCGAUGGAAACUGAAUUUCUUGAGGGCAGGAGAGGAAAGGGGAAUUCCCAGUGUAGCGGUGAAAUGCGUAGAUAUUGGGAGGAACACCAGUGGCGAAGGCGCCUUUCUGGACUGUGUCUGACGCUGAGAUGCGAAAGCCAGGGUAGCGAACGGGAUUAGAAACCCGUGUAGUCC